rnacentral:tRNA from 1 species
GCCCGUUUGGCUUAGCGGUAAAGCGCAUCACUAGUACUUGUACAUGAUGAGAUCCUAGGUUCGAUUCCUAGAAUGGGCA